ACAACUCUAUGGAAAGAUCUGUUCUUUCUUGCUCUAUUUGUGGAAUGAGAGUAGGUAUAAAAAGACAUAAAAUAUAUGCCUGCAUUGUGUGCAUAAGUAUUUAAAGAUAUAUAGUAGUAGGUAAGUCCAAGUGGGUAUUUUUUCGUUCAAUUAAAUAAUUGCUAAACGGGAACGUACAAUAAAGAACGUUCCCCUUUGUGGUGAAUAGCAUGACCGAAUGGCGUGGCAUAGCGUGAAUUCCAUAAUUCAUCAUACUUGGCGUAGUUGAAUGUAAAAGGAAGUUGCUGUUGCGGGGUUGAAAUCAAAUGAUUGAUUUUAAAACGUGUCUCUAAAUACACCGGAAACAUCGCAACGUUGAAAAAUCAACCUCUAUUUAACCGAGCAACGAAGCAGAAUAAACUCUGCUUUGACCUGAUCACCAAAGUCAAAGUUAUUUUUAAUUCGCCAGAGAAUCGCGAGAAUUUUAUGUUUCUUAUUUGUCCUAGGACAAGAAGAAGAAAGCAAUAAAACACCGUUUUUUAUUUCA